rnacentral:rRNA from 1 species
CCUACGGGAGGCAGCAGUGGGGAAUUUUGCGCAAUGGGGGAAACCCUGACGCAGCAACGCCGCGUGGGUGAUGAAGGCCUUCGGGUCGUAAAGCCCUGUCGGGAGGGAAGAAAUGAUUGAGAGCUAAUACCUCUUGGUCUUGACGGUACCUCCGAAGGAAGCACCGGCUAACUCCGUGCCAGCAGCCGCGGUAAU